rnacentral:lncRNA from 1 species
AUGCCUUCUGCUCAUGUUCCUGGUUCCUGGGCAUCUGGAGGGCUACAAGCCUUGUGUCCUCCUGAUGAGCUCCUGGCCUGUGGAUGGUUCAGGAUGGUAGUAUUGCUGUGUGACCAAUUCCAGGGACAAAAGGGAGGACUAGUGUGUCCUGAGGUCCCCAGUGAAGUCAGCAAACCCUGGGACACCUGGCUGAUGAAUGACUGA